rnacentral:rRNA from 1 species
GUUGAACGCUGGCGGCAGGCUUAACACAUGCAAGUCGAGCGGGGGAGGGUAGCUUGCUACCGGACCUAGCGGCGGACGGGUGAGUAAUGCUUAGGAAUCUGCCUAUUAGUGGGGGACAACAUCUCGAAAGGGAUGCUAAUACCGCAUACGUCCUACGGGAGAAAGCAGGGGAUCUUCGGACCUUGCGCUAAUAGAUGAGCCUAAGUCGGAUUAGCUAGUUGGUGGGGUAAAGGCCUACCAAGGCGACGAUCUGUAGCGGGUCUGAGAGGAUGAUCCGCCACACUGGGACUGAGACACGGCCCAGACUCCUACGGGAGGCAGCAGUGGGGAAUAUUGGACAAUGGGGGGAACCCUGAUCCAGCCAUGCCGCGUGUGUGAAGAAGGCCUUAUGGUUGUAAAGCACUUUAAGCGAGGAGGAGGCUACUCUAGUUAAUACCUAGGGAUAGUGGACGUUACUCGCAGAAUAAGCACCGGCUAACUCUGUGCCAGCCGCCGCCGUAA